CACUCAUGGGGGUGGCUUGAUUUGAUAUGACAUCCCUUGAUGUGUAGCUAGCCAUUGGAGUGAUAUGGCCCCAUGUGGGUAAUGCGAUUUGAUGUGAUGAUAUAGGGGUUGACUCUUCCAAACGUGACAGCCAGUGAGUGUUGAAGAAAAUGUAGCCCAUCGCUAGAAGAAAGGAUUGAUGAGGGAUCCUUUGGUCGAAGUUGAUGUCGGGCUUAGGACUUCUCUUGGAUCGAGGUUUGGUAUCCGAGCAUCACCCC
rnacentral:lncRNA from 1 species